rnacentral:rRNA from 1 species
UGGGUAUACAAUCAAGGGUCUGCCUUGCCUUGGUACGAGGGGGCCGGGUGCUUGCCCGGGUGGAUUAGUGGCGAACGGGUGAGUAUCACGUGAGUAACCUGCCCUUGACUCUGGGAUAAGCCUGGGAAACUGGGUCUAAUACCGGAUAUGACCAGUCCUCGCAUGGGGUGCUGGUGGAAAGAUUUUAUCGGUCUUGGAUGGACUCGCGGCCUAUCAGUUUGUUGGUGAGGUAAUGGCUCACCAAGGCGAUGACGGGUAGCCGGCCUGAGAGGGUGACCGGCCACACUGGGACUGAGACACGGCCCAGACUCCUACGGGAGGCAGCAGUGGGGAAUAUUGCACAAUGGGCGCAAGCCUGAUGCAGCGACGCCGCGUGCGGGAUGACGGCCUUCGGGUUGUAAACCGCUUUCAGCAGGGAAGAAGCUUUUGUGACGGUACCUGCAGAAGAAGCGCCGGCUAACUACGUGCCAGCAGCCGCGGUAAUACGUAGGGCGCGAGCGUUAUCCGGAAUUAUUGGGCGUAAAGGGCUCGCAGGCGGUUUGCCACGUCUGCUGUGAAAGCCCGGGGCUUAACUCCGGGUGUGCAGUGGGUACGGGUAGACUAGAGUGCAGUAGGGGAGACUGGAAUUCCUGGUGUAGCGGUGAAAUGCGCAGAUAUCAGGAAGAACACCGAUGGCGAAGGCAGGUCUCUGGGCUGUUACUGACGCUGAGGAGCGAAAGCAUGGGGAGCGAACAGGAUUAGAUACCCUGGUAGUCCAUGCCGUAAACGUUGGGCACUAGGUGUGGGGGACAUUCCACGUUUUCCGCGCCGUAGCUAACGCAUUAAGUGCCCCGCCUGGGGAGUACGGCCGCAAGGCUAAAACUCAAAGGAAUUGACGGGGGCCCGCACAAGC